rnacentral:lncRNA from 1 species
GGAUAAGACGAAGGAAGUGGGUUUCUGCUAGGGUUGAGUUGAUGCUUGUUUGCCUCUUAAACAGGUCUUUUGUGUGAUGGGCUUCGGGCCGAUUUCAAGUGCGCCGUUGGAAAUUUCGUGAGCCCAUUUCUAGGAAGAGUAGUCGAUAAGCGUGCAGUGGCUUCAACAAACAAUGCAAUUGCGUAGAUGACAAAAACGCUACAAGUUGGAUCCUGGAGUUCAUGCAAAUAUGCAGCCGCAACACAGAACAAGAGCCAUCAGGAGAACCAAACGCAAGACAAGACAAUUCACAAAAACUAAAAGAAAAUGCGACAACAAUCAUUUGAGCGAUGAGAAAAACUGCAGAGGAUGAGAGCCCAGACCUUCAAAAGAGACAUUUUUACAUACAUUAUGUCUACCAGUGGCUUUUCAGCACUGUGAUCAGUCAUACAAGAAGACAUUAGUGAAGAAGAGACGACUGGAAGAAUUUGAUGAAACAGAGUAAGCUCUAAAGAAUAAUGGUACACUGAGUUGGAUUGCUCUUAGUGCAAUACAAAGAUCAACAAUGAAGGUUGCAAUAUCUCAGACAAAGGUAUCAGUCUGUAAAGAGAUACCGCAAUAUUAGCAAACUGUGGACUCCACUUGAACUUCUAAAAGAAAUAUCUUAACAAUUCCUUCCUAGAGGAAAAUCUAAAAAGUACAAGCAGGCUUAAUGAGAUCCACAACUAUCCAGCAGAAGGUGUGGCAUAAUGCCCAGUUUUCCUUCUGUGGCGGCUGAAAUCAGAAACAAACCUGAAUGUCUGCCCGCACCCAGAGAACUUACACUUGUAGGGACGCUCUCCCGUGUGGACCCUGACAUGUUCGGUCCUGGCCCAUGCCCACUUGAAGGUCAUGUUGCAGCCCUUCCAUGGGCAUCUAAGAGGUCUAUCAUCAUUGUGAACACACUGAUGGCGCACUGCAUAUUUGUGACAGCUAAAUCGCUUUCCACAUCCCUCAAUUGUACAACGGUCACGCUUGUGCAGUGAAAGUUCUCCCCUUGUCUGAAAACUCAUAAAACAGCCUUCAAUGUCACACUUGAAAGCCUUGCUCUUAUCUUCCCUUUGCACAAUCGAGUUUCCUGGUCUUCUCCUUUCCUUGAUUGCAGAGCUCUUCUCCAGUGUAAAUAUGUCAGCCUUGACAUCCGUUUUGAGCCAACUCCGUGGCCUCAACCCCUCACAGGGGCUUCGUACAAAGCAAACUGAGCUAUCCUGACAUCCUGUUGACUGCUCUUGUUGUCUCUUUCUUUUGUUUCUCCGCCUCACAUAUUGUAUAAGAUCAACUCUUGCUGGAUUAUGAUAAUUUGGUUGUGCACCAUUCAGCAAAGAAGAGCUAUCAGCAGAAACACAAAGCUCCGUUGAAUGCACUUCCUGCAUAACAGAGCCUUCGGCCAUUGAUAUGGCAAGAAUCUCAGCCAACUUCAUUGAAUGGUUAAAAGCAGUCUUCCCAUCAGCUUUAACAAAGGCUUCCAUUUCAUCAGCACAGUGAGCUUUCUGCGGCAUUUCAGAAUUAUUAACAACCAAAUUAUUGACAGCAAAGUAGUUUUCACUCUUAAUGAUAUUUGCACCAUCAGCAAUAUGUUCAGUCCUUGCCAAAAUCUCUUGCAACAUUUUACUACCAUCAUUUAUGCUAAUGUCAGGCAUCCUGUUUGAAUUAGCAGGAUUGGCAACCAUGUCAUCACCUAAAGGUUCCUGGACAGACAGAUUAUUAAGCUGUAUUUCAGAAUUAAUUAGUGAUUCUGAUAGACAAAGGAACUGGUCGUUGGACAACGAAGUUCUGCAACUAUCCUCUAAAUUCUCCAAAGAAUAAUGGAGAGGUCUUCUACCAGUCCCACAAGCUGCUUCCCUAUUUCCAUUGAACUCAUCUCCUAGAUUAGCUGUAUCCACAGCACUAACUUGUUGAGCUUCAGAAGUUCCACUUUCUAAAGUCAAUCUAUCUGCUAAAAUUUCUGACUUAUCAGAACUACAAAACUUGUCUUGUGAUCUAUAUGCUUCUUCAAACCCUUGACUUAGUUCCGGAUCCACAAAAGGCUGUUUGCUAGCCGACUUUACAGGUUCACAAACUGCUUCCUUGAAGCUUAGCCCAUCGGAGUGAAUCUCUAACCGUUCAGAAUAUCCAACAUCUGACUCAUGACUUGCAGGCAAUUUUACAGGAGGAACAGACUCACUGUAUGUGGUAACCCUCAGCGUUACCCAACUCACUUGAUGCAUUUGAGGACAUUCAGCAAUCAGGACAGGAAUGGUAUGCAAAUUAUCGCCAGUAUCAUCUUUCAUUUGACUAAUAAUUUUGUUUGCAGAACCACACUUUCUUCUUUCAUCACCUCUGUCAUCAACCUUAACAAUUGUGUUACCACUGCCUGACUCUUUGAGCAUACCUUUUAUAAGGAGACUAUGAUGCAUAGUUCCUAUCUGAUGUGGUUCAAGGCUACGAUUAACUUCUGUGACUUUGGCAGAAUCAGUUAUUGAAUUUGUAUUCCCAUCUAUUAGCUCACACUUUUCAUUAUUUGCAUCAAAUUGUGAUUUUGACUGGAUCACACCAACUACCUUGUGGGGAGUACGAGAUUUUCUAGAAAGCCACUUGAGAUUUGAAACAGCUGUAGGAGAAGGAUCAGAAAAGAUUCCACCUAAGGAUAAUGUGAGAUGUUCUUGAUUUGAUGGAGACUGCUUUUUCAGCUUCGCACAGUAUCUCAGAUUCAGACCCAAUUUUGACGUCCAAUCAUUCCCAUCUUCUUCAUGUCCUUCAUCAUCAAUUGAGACAUUGAUUAAAUCCAAAUCUGACGGGGAUGCAUUCACCAGUGGGACAUCUUCACAGUUAAACCGGAUGUUGAUUUCUUCAGCAAUAGAUAUGGCAAGUGCUUUUAUUUUGAGAUAGUCUGCAAAAACAAAAUAACAGCACCAUAAGAAAUCCUGCUUAUAUCACUAUAAGAAAGCAAAUUCAGUAAGAACAGAAAAUAACUUCUGGUAUUUCAGAAAAAAAAUUAUAGCUAUUUAUAAGGAGAUGAAAUUAUCUGACUCUUGAAUAAAGAUGAACUUUAUUCCAUGAAAAAAAUAAAACGAUCUAUAAGUAUCAACAGCAUGAACUUUUCAGUAGAGAUGUCCGUCGCUCGUAUAUGUUUUUUUCAUCACUGGACUCUCAACAAUGAAAUCAAAGACCAUGUAUCAUACACAACCAUUCAUUUUUCAAGAUAUAAUUAGCAGUACUAAUAGGAAUUCAAUAAUGUUUCACCGACGCAAAACCAUUCCAACCUUUUGCUCUGCAAGAACAAACUACCACAGUUACAAUACAUUUCGACCAGUACCAAUUGAAGAAGACAUGGCAUACAAGAACAACAGCUUUAAAAAUUGUAAUUGGGAAAAUUUAGAAGAAAAUGAUAAUAAAUGUAACAUAUAUAUUAAUGCUAUCAAUGCAUGAAUUCACACCUGAAUGGCAUAUAAUAAGCACACGCACACCACCCUUGCACCGUAACAAAUCCUCAAUUUCAAGUGCAUGCUGUAAGCAGAAGAUUCGUGGUCUUAGAAAUCCAUUGCAUGUAUUCCAAUUUGAAAUCUCAUCUGAAGAUUUCCUCUCUGGCACAUCAUCUGUUUCAUCAAGAGAAAUGUUACCAGGAUAGUCUCCUUGACAUGCUUUAUUGUCAACCUCUGAAUGACUUGUCAAAGAUAUAUGUGGCCCAGGUUCUUUCAUUUUGUCACAAGAAUGUUGUCCACAGACAACUGUCGUUUCAUACGUACAACUACAAUGUGUUCUCUUUGCUUGAACACAUCCAUCAUUCUUAUCUUGAGCUCUCAAUUCGUGUAUCUGACGCUCCAUUAAACUCAGAAUCUGUUGAUGUUCCUCAUUGCUUGCACAAUUAACAGGCAAUGAGUUGCCGGUGGAUAGUUUUUCAGGUCCAAUCAAAUGACAAAAUCUGCUUCUCUCAACGUCUUCACCAAGCAUAUCUGGUGUAGUGUCUGAUAAAGAUUCUUUGACAGCACUUCGGUUUUCAACCAGAGAAACAUUGACCGUGUCCUCAUGUGAAUUAGAUCUGGCAUCUGGAUUUCUCUGCUCCUCAACACCAACACAUUCGUCUUCGUGAUUAUUUCAAAAAAUGAAGCAAGUUAAUACAACUCCAUAUGAAAAUCAGAAUUUCUGUACUUAACAAUCAUACAAUAGAGAUCCAGAAAAGUGGCUAACAGUACAUUGUCAAUGUAACUUAAACAUUCUCUCAUCAAGCAUCAUUCUACUUUGUAAUAUGUCUUGCAAUCAAUAGUUAAGAUUCAAUUGCAAAUAAUGAUAAAUAUGCCAGAGUAUAAAGAUGUCAACUAGUGAUUGGGUGGAACAUAUUCUAUCUUAUGAAUUUUGAUGAACUAUAGUACAAGUAUAUAAUAAUGAGUGCUUAAAAUAUAUUCAUAAUGCAAGUGCAUGUCCUAGGUUGUUAUCUAGAGGCAAAGAAUUUUUUUAUGGUGAAUGCUUAUGUCACUCAAAAAUGGGUUUUGUAACAAAAACACAGUCAUCACACUAACAUGCUAAUCAACACAAGAAAUACGUCCGAUGCUGGAAAAUGUCUUUAACUUCCCUACUGUGUGUCUACAAAAUUUACAGCUCUACUGGCCAAAAAGACAAAUUACCUGAAUCCAACUUUUUGGCAGUACAGGGCUGGCAGGAAGGAAGGUUCAAAUUUUGUGACAUAUCAAGGCUUGGAUGAGAUUCAUUAGAAUUUGCAGCAAUAAUAUUUCUGGAUGCUUUUUCAGAAGGUUGCAGGAUAGCCAUAAAUGGAUAGCCAAGAAUUCCACAGGCAACACAUGCCAAUGAUCCAGAAUCAACAUCAAGACCAAAUGGUAGAUCAAUUUCAUCAACAUCCAUGAUGCCCUCAGUAUUAUUGCAAGCAUUCUCAUUAGCCUCUGAAAAUAAAGCAGAAUGAGAUGAUCUGCCGGAAAGAUCGGCAGUUGUUUCAUGGGCAUCCUGAGUACAGCAAGCAUCUCCUUCAUAGUCAAGAGAAUCUUUACCCAUGGAUUGACACUCCAUUUUAAUUCCAUGAAGGUCACCACUUGUGGGCCCAUGUGCUUCAGAUGAUACGGAUGAAGACUGCUGCACUUGGGUACCAAGACACGUGGCAGGCAACAUCUCUGGUUCCCACAACACUGCACUAGAGAUUGUUGCUUUUGCAAGAAGUACAAACAACAAGUUGCUUUCAUUCAUCAUAUCAUCCAGAAAUGCUUUCUUGACUAGGAUUUCUCGUUCUUCUUUCUUACGGUCUCUCAGACGGGAACUCCGUGCACCUGACAACAGUUCUCUAGGAACACUGGCAUUAAAACAAUUCCACCAGAUUCAAACUGGAGAAAAAACUAGAAUUAGGUGCCCACUCAUUUAAAGUAUGGACACCAACAAUGAAAAGAAAAAAAAAGUCUAAAUCACUGAUAGCAUGCUAGACAAAGUGCAUUUUUUUUUGCUAAAAACUGAACCAGCAUGGGGCAAGUGCCAGUAACAAUUAUAAGACUUUCACAUGGAUAUGCACCAUAUAGACAUACAGAAAUAAGUCUAAUGUGGUGUGUAAAUCCUUGAUCUAAACACCAGGGUUCAGAGAUUCAAUGAAAACUGAAGAGAAACAUAAACCAAUACCACUAGGAAUUAUUCACUAGUAAAUGUCUUAAACUUAACAUUGAAUGUCCCAAUGUUUGCAGUUAAUUUCUGAUCUGUACCACGUUAGCCAACCCUUCUUUUAGCAGAGAAAGUGUUUUGUUUGGAGAAUCAAGUUGAAUCACGCCUUCUAAAAAUGAGUUCAUGAGCCAAGGAUUCAUACAAGUUUGUGAAUAAGCAAAAUGUGUACGAUCUUAAAUUAUGGCAUUAAAUAAUAAACUAAAGCCCCACACUCUCAAAUCCUUCUCAGGCAAUACAUAAUAUAAAGAACAACUUAAUCAGCACCGUAUAUUUCAGAGAAGAGAAUUCUAACUUGUAAAAAGAAAACCAACACUACAGAUAUUUCAGCACCUACUUACGAACUUAGACCAUAAAAAUUAUCUAAAAUUAAAUUAUUAGAUUAUUAAUAAUUUUUUAAAGAGUCUUAGAUCUGUUUUAUUUUACUCCAAAAGACUAGUUGAUUAAUCUAUGGUCUUUGGCAGGCGUUGGUUAAAAUAAUUUUAUAUCAAGAUAUAGCCAAUAUGAGUGAUCUAGCUAUGUGGAAAUGGCUAACCAGUAAAAGGAGAAUAAGAGGAGGGACAGGGUCUUCCAGCAAGCACCAACAAAUGGGACAACCAAAAUCGACAAAAGGUCCCACAACUUUAAUGAGCAUACUGACUCCUUUAUAGCAUAGAUUUUCCUGCUACACAGUAAGUCGCAUCAACUUUAUUGUUCUCAAAGGUGUAAAGACUUUCUAAUCAUACUAUCAUAAUAAUGACUGGAAAGAAGAGGGUGAGCCUGAAUGCCACAGUAAGGUUGCUCCUUGUAAGCUAGGUGAAUACUGCAUCUAUUAGGCUUGCCUAAACUCUGCAUUAGCAUGAGCCUUAUGCAUCCGACCAUCACUUUUAAAUGGUUUGAAAGAGAUCAAGGCAACAAAAAUAUAUUGUUACAAUUAAAUAAAGAGGGUUUUAGCUUUUAUCAAAAAAUGAUGACUCAAUCUGCAAAAGUUGUAGAAAAUUACAUAAGCUAGGUUUCCACAGAAAUUUCACACUGCUCUCGCAAUAGAAGAAAAUACAGAUCAGAAGGUAGAGGGGAAAAAAAAGAAUGACUAACUGUAAAUUGUGCUGUAAAAAUUUAUUAAUAACCAACCUUGAGAUAAAAGAUAUUGAUAACAUGUAUAACAGCUGUUGAUGGGAGAGCAUAGGAAGAUAAUUCAUGGCAGCCCUUCGCACUGCAGCCUCUUUUGCUACCAUUAACCACUUGGGAGUUGCAAAAUUAGCAGCUUCCCCACAGUUGAAUCCUAUUGUGCAAUCAUGACAACAUAUAAAUAAAAUCAGGGGUAACAGGCAUUUGACAUGGAAACCUGUAAAAAAAAUUAAAUCUUACCCCAGAUACUUGUCUAUCCUUAAUGAGAUUAGUGAGACUUCAUACAAGAUAAAUGACAUUAAGAACUAUUUUCAUUUUGGUAGCUUCAAUUAAAGAAUAGAAGUACCCUAACCACAAGAAAAGUACCAAAUGGAUACAAGACUAAAGCAUGUAAAGACCUGAAAGCAACAAGUAUACAUAAACUGACAAGCUUUACUCCAUUUAUUUGUCUAGUCUAAUUAAACCAUAAAUGAAAGUUUGCAUUCGUUCACAUGUAAAACUGUAACAUGCCAUUAAUGUUUCAUAUGUUGUGCAAUUUAUUAGUCAUGGUUAACUAAGCUGAGAUUUGGGAUUGACUAUAAUAUAAGAGCCCACUAGAGCAGGCAAUAGUUCCCUAUAUCUACAUGACCCAAGGUCCUCAACUUUGUCAACCCUUACAGUAACUUUAAUCCCUUUUUGGUAGAAUCAAUUUGCUUUCACUACAAACAAAUACAUCAGUUUCUCAAGUUGUGAUGAUGCAAGUGCAUCCUACUAUUGAUCCUCUUUAUCCUCAUCUUCAUAUUUUGCAAUCAGCUCCUCUUCCUCUUCAUCUUCAUCUUCAUCUUCACCUAGAUCUUAAAGUCUGACAUAUUCUUAGGGAUCAUAAAUUUGUAACUAGUAAUGGUGUCUGAGGCAAAAGAUACAUGGUAGUACAGUUCCACAGUACCUCAUUCAACUCAUCCCAACAGUGAGCUAUUUUCCAUUUCUUUAAAUGUUAACCUCCCCAGAGUUUUUUAUUUCAUCAUUGUAAAUGUUGCAUAAACAUUAUAGUACCAUGUUCUCUUAUUUGUCAUGGAAUUUCCUAUUACUUGAGGUGCAUGCUAAAGUAUAGUUUCCAAGGAAGCAUAAAAUGUAACAUGAAAGACUUUCAAGCUACAUAAUAUAUUUCCAGUUGAAUGGGACACAAGAGUAUGAUUAAAAAACAAAUUUAAUGCACAAGUUUCCCGCCAAUGCGGCGUAUUCUCGGACAAAAAAUUGACACUAUUACAACUUAGCAAAAAAAGAAAGUGAGAAGGAUUGAUGUGUUAGAAAAUCAAGAAAGGAAGAUAUAAUCAGAAUAUCAAGAAAGAAAGAUAUUACUGGCAUAUCAAAAAUACAUAAAUUUUCAAGAACACUCAAGUGCAACUCUACCAAAUACCUGAUAAUAUGAGAACAAUCAGUCUGGAGCUUUACACUAUCUAGAACUUUAUAACAGACAGGAGUAAGUAAAAUCAACAAGUUACUCUCUAUCAAAAACAGAAAACUGUUAUAGUGAACAUGAUAAGAUGAGCAUCAGCCCACAAUCUAUCUAAAACUUUACAACACGGGUAGGCAAACUCAACCUCUUUACUCCCCAUCAAAACCAGCCAACAUACAAUAACAAAAAUAAUUGAAAUUGGACUCUAAGCUGUCUUAAAAGUUGUUGGUGGAUUAAGCUCCCUGUGGCGUGAAUGACUUAGAAGUAUUGGCUCAAAGAAUUGAGGCUAAAUGUUUUCAAUAAAUUGCCUACCAGAAAAAUUCUUGUAAGUACUAGAAUGGCAUAAUAAGCUACAACAACACCUAAAAUAAUCUUCCAAAGUUAUAUAUUUUCUAACAAUGACCAAAACAUUGAUUAUCAGAAGCACUAACAACAAUCAGGUAAAAAAAAACUUGAUAGGAAUUAGCUUGUAACAUAACAACCAACCUAUAAUUUCUGAAAAGUAUUAGGGAUACAAUGAUAAUGACAUCAUAGUUGUCCACAGAAAAGAUAUACCAAAAUUUUCUAUAUUUUGCUAGAAAGUAAGAAGAUCUGGGGCGAAAUUUUACCAUGGCUGAAGCCUACAUGAUAAGCCCUUGGAAAUGUUACAACGAACUCACCAGGAUGUUGUACUAACCUAAAACAGUGUGACCAUAACUAUUUUAGUUUAGAAAACCAAAGUUUAUAUAGACAUUUCAGCAAUGUCAUCCGGUCAGCGUUAAACCUUAAAUAAUAUUAAAGGCACAAUCACAUAUCCAAUAUAAGAAUUUCACCUGCAGCAUGGCACCCCUGAUGCCACCAGAACUUCAGGAGAUAGCAAUGUUGUCUUCUCUCCAAGCAUAAUUAAAGCCGCUGAAAAAACAUAAAAGAAGAUAAUCAACCUCAUCGCUUCGUGUAACCGAAAACAACUAUGCUACCAUACCUAGCCGAUCCAUGUUUCCUCCGUAUCCCUGAACACGAACAAUCUCCUCCAGUGUGGCCGCAUAAUCUCCAGGAACAGCAUACCAAGUCUUCGGAGAGCCCAAAUGGAGAAAAUUCAAGCUAUGCAGCUCAUGAUCCUCCACAUGCCAGGCAAACCAACUGAACAGCAUCCCAAUAUAUACCAUCGGCGAGGUAACUCCUGGCACUUCAUCAGGCAUAAAUCUAGUAAGCGAACCAGGGGCCCUAGCGAUGGCCUGAAGAUUCCAUGGGCUAUUUGAUAGCUUCCACCCGACACCACCCAUGCCCUCACGCUCCCCGAUCGCCUGUGGGCACAAGCGUCUUGGCUCCUGGAUGCUCCCCCUAUUGAGCCCUCUUUUCCGCUUCCUCCGGUGAUGAGGGUAAUACCGGAACGGCACCUCCGGCACGCCAAACCCCGACCCAGGCACAUCGUUGGCAUACUCUACGUAAAUGGGUUUUUCCGAAGCGGCCUUCCAGAAGAGGGUCUCGAUCAGCAAAGGGCUGACUUCCUUGAUCCCACCAAGCUGGGAGCGAGCGAAGGCCUUGGACUUGGCCUCGAACUGCUCGAGGGUGUAGAACUCGCCGCUCUGCCACACCUGCUUCUGGACGGGGAGGGCGCGGCCGCGUCGCGCCCCGAGCUCCUGGUGCCGGGUGGUGAAGACGGCAGCGGGGGAGCGGGGGGAGGAGGGAGGCGGUUUCAAGUGGUCGGGGGAGGCGGAGAGGGAGCGGUUGAGGUUGGCAAGGACGAACUUCUUGGAGGGCCGGGGGAGCGGGGGGAUGACCUUGCAGAUGCCGAAGGCGGCGGCCUCGCGCUCGACACGCGAGAUAAAGGCGAUGGGAUCAGCGAACUCCGUCUCGGUGGGGUGGUACUCGGGCGCCAGGGGCAGGUUCUUCAGCCAUGCGGGGAUCUCCGAGGAGUCGGACAUGGAGGUGGAGAGGCAAUUCCAGGUCCUCGCUUCCCCGGAAACAGCCCUAGAAAAGAGAUAAGGCAAGGAUCGGAGACAAUUUUGGGGGCGGAUUAGGUGGGGAGAGAAGAAGAGGGAAAAGGAGAUAAGGGAAGGGGUUUGAGGGGUGGUGCCAUCGAGGGCUUCGGGUAUCGAGGAAGGGGGAGCAGAUUGAGUGUCACUGGGCGGUGCGACUGGUGCCCUAGUUUUAGCCGAUGCCUGCGGUGGUCGUAGUGCCGACAACGCAAAACCCCUUUAGCCAUCCUCUCACACUCGAUGGGGUUCGGUCAAGCCACGAUCGACGCGGGCGCGGCUGACCUCCUCCCUGUGCACCGAUCAAUUACGCUACUUUUAUAUAAUUAUGAUAUUAAAAAAAUAAACAACAUAAAUAAAAUGAAUAUAUAUAUAUAUAUAUUAUCAUUUUUUUUAGGAAUUCUCAUAAUUAUAUAUUACAGUAUUUUUACAUAAUUAUAAUAUAAUUAUGAUAUAAAAUAAAUAAAUAAUAUAUUAGUUAUUUGUUUUUUGGAUGAAUUCUCCAAAAAAAAAUCUCUCUUUUUUAUACUUUUUCUCAAAAAGUAUCUCUACUUCUAUAAUUUCCUAAUAAUGUUCUUCUUUAUGUAAUACCUGAUAUACCUUUAAUUUGAGAGAUUUUUGUCAUUUUCUCUUCCUUUUUCUAUAGAUCGAUUCGAUUAAAUCAAUCCAAUUACGAUAUUUUAUAUAAUUAUAGUAUAAUUAUAUAAUUAUCAUGAUAUAUAUUUUUAACAUAUAUAUAUAUAUAUGUUAUAUAUUUUUAUCACCCAAAAGCUCAUUCUAUUCCGGGGGAAUAAAACUAUGUGAAGCAACUCAAACUUGACACAAGGAACUGAUGUUGUUUCUUGCCAUCCUGGUAAUACUACAUCAUUCAAAGAGUUGGAGAAUCACGUCUCUCGACAUGUUCAUAUAUAACAGGUGCAUGAACAUUUAAGCUGCCCCACAGCAAUGCCAAAAGAGAGAAAAGUGAGUUCUUCAUAUCCGACGAGAGAGAGAUCAACUGAGACUGGAGAGUUCUUCGAAGGAACGGACCCUUUUCGGAGAAGAGUAGAUGAACAACUUAGCAGCCAAACCCGUACAGCGUACCGAUGACUCCGAUUUCUCCCUCCGCGGUUGCGUGAUCCAUAUGCAACUCCCAAGGGAUGAUACAGCCCUGUCGAGGAGCUUAGCAGGUAGUAACAAACGCAGAAGACGAGUGCCAGUGGCACACUGCGACGGAUCACGAGAUAACCUAAUUAACAUGCUUCUUCUUCUUCUUCUUUGCUUUCCAUGAUCUCAGGCGCAUCGGUGUAGUGUUUGCUGAAGCACUCCAGAGAUGAUGACUUUACUUGCUGGGGUUUCUACGCUUUGACCAUUCUGCGUGUAGAUGUCCCAUUUUGUUGAGGUCAUUCCGUAGCAGUGCUGCCAAACAGCUUCUUCCGGAGGAUGACAUGAAUGAAAACGACUCAAUCUAGGAUUUGAACCUGGGCAAGAAGACGUGAGUUGAGGAAUAGCAUGCAGGUGAUGGUUAAGCUUCUCAGCUCAUUUAGGUUGAACCCUCGUCGACAAGAAGACUCGAUUCUUCUUUCCCCCAUGAGUCAACGAUCGCUUUGGAUUUGGAGAUCAAAUGUAUGCAAAGCCUACUUUUAUAAUGCACGAGUGUCCUAAACGAUGGUCUUAAAAGAAGCACUCACCAAAACCAACCUCGUUUGAAGCCAUGACAUUUGGUUGAAGAAUGGGGAGGGGGAUUGGCUCUUUAAAUCUUUCUUUACACAGUAAACUAAAAGAUCACAUAAUGGUGUAUUAUAGUAUUUGUUAAUGAAAAUUUUGUUUAUUGGUAAUAAAGUUCAAGCUGCCCAUCGGUGCGACCCACAGCUUUGUACGCUUUCGAAGGAUUAUUCAUUUUUUACGAUGGGUGUACCGAUAUGAUUUUAUUCUUUCGAAGUAAUAUAAGCUUUAAAAAACAGAGAUCUGACGAACUUAUAAGACUAAAUAACCUUAUCACAUCUAAUUUUAAUUACUGAGAAAUGAAUUAAAUUAUACACUCUACAAUAAACAUUUAUAGAUAUAUAAGAAACAUUUGUCCUACUGCACUAUUUUCUUUUUCUUUUUUUAUUAGUUUAUACUCCAAAGCAUCGUGAGAAUAUUGCUUUUGCAUUCACUAUGGACACUUCAAUUCCUUAUCAUAUUCGCUUCAUCAUCUUCUCAUGCGAGGCUUACAUUUGUAUUUUCUUGAACCAUUUAUGAUUCUUUUUUAGAUACUUUUCAUGAUAGAUUUAUUAUGUGUAAUUCUUCUAUAUUUUGGAAGAGUUUAUGUGCUUAUUAGACAGAUUAUUUUUAUAUCUUAGUAUGGUCUGGAUAGAAAGAGGGAUGGUAGUAUUUAGGGUUUAGAUGAGCUAAACUCACCAAGCAAAUGUUAUUACGUUAUAUUCAUCCUCAAUCAUAUUUUAUCCGAAUAAUCGUAUAUUAUUCUUUAUAAUUAACUACCUUUAGUAUCUCGAUUUUUAUAUUUUUAAAAGUAAUAUUAGAAUCCUUAUUUUUAUAAAAAUAAAAUAAUAAAAUUCGGAUUAAAAAAAUAAUUUCAUAAGAUUAAAAAAAACUAUUGAAACAACAUAAUUAAAUAUUUUACUUUCGUAAAUACAAAGUUCUCAUUAUAAAUAUGAUUAAUUGCAUGGAUAAUCUAUAAUUAUCUCCACUUUUAUCUUCUAUGUUACAUUUAGCUAAGUACUUCAGUUCGAUCAACUGCUCUACUGUCAAUGUUAGUUUUGAGCUUAAAAGCAAAAAUGUGUGGAUUAUAUAACUUUAUUCAUUUACACUCUAAUAUUUGGAAGUAUUGCUGUAUUCAUGUUGUUGAUAUACUCAGUCCAACAACAACGAGAAGAAGGGUUUCUGCAGCUUGUGACCUUCGUAUACAAUGUGAUCGACAUUAGUGUGCAGACUCACCAAAUAAUCAGUCAUUUAUGUGUUCAUGGUUUUAAUGAAAGUUUUGGUUGGGUAUAUAUGAUCAAGAAAAGGAAAAGAUAAUUGCGUCUUCUAUCACUACAGCAUUGUCACCAUGAUUAGACAACAACAUUUGUUGCCGUCUCAAAGAAGCAGCACGCGAAUUGAAGCAUCAGCUAUGUCAUAAAAGCUAGAUUUAGGCAGUGAUAUAGAAACAGUUUUACCACCAUAGUCAGAUCACUCUCUCUCCCUCCUCAAUAUUCUUCUCGGCAGUCAAAUACUAGUUGAAAAUGACAUAUAUCAUGAUAUAGCCAUAUUAUGAUAUUUUUUAUAUCGGCAGUCAAAUAUUCUUCGAUCUUCAAUAGAACUUGCCCAAUCACUAUCUAAACAACCAACACUUAAAAAUUCAUUAGUAGUAGAAUACCAUAAUCUAUGGCUAAUGGUAUCCUUCAGAUGUCUUCAAAUUUUCUUUGUUAUACCCCAAUGUAUUUUACUUGGGCUAAGACUUUGUAUAAAUCAUGAUGAUAAAUAUGUACCAAAUGUUAUAUCAAGUAGAGUGUGACCAAGUAAACUUCCAAUUAAACUUAUGUACAGAUUGCAAUUAACCUUUUCUUCACUGUUGUUCAGGGAAAUUUUCAUAUCUAUGCCCAUAAAUUUUGUACAGGAUUGCAACUCUACAUCUUAAACUUCAAAAGCAAAUCAGAUAUAUACAUAUAUAUAUGUAUGUAUGUAUUCUCUAGAAAUGAAUACAUAAUUGCGCUUCUUAUCACUACAGCAUUGUCAAAAUGAUUAGACCACACUUGUUUUGGUCUCUGAUCAAAGAGCAUGCGAAGCCUCAACAUAUGUGAGAACAGCAAGAUUUAGGCAGGCAGUGAUACCCAAACAGUCCUUCCACCACCGUCAGAUCACUAGCCCUCUCCUUGACAUUCCUCUUUGCAAUCAACUGCUUGUUGAAUAAUAUACCUUCUUUCCACGACCGAUCUCUUGAAGCAGUCUAUAUAAACCCCAUUGCAGAUGAAUUCAUUCCAGAGUUGAGAGCUUCCCUUGAAUCAAAGGUUAGUUUCCUUGUGUGUUCUCUACUACAUAGCAUGAUUUCUUUGCUUAAUUUCCAAUUAAGUUAUGUGUGGACUCAUUCAUAUAUAGGUGAAAAGAUGAAACUGGUCAUCACCUCACUCGUAAUACUGGUUCUGAUGGUGUCAGUCACGACGGCAAGAGAUCGCUACAAAGAAGGCAUGAACCACCAGGUGAGCAAACUCACUGAGAUGAACACAAAACGCUCAGGUGACAAGGAUAAGACGGUGACCUAUGAACUGAACGAGAACGCUAAAGGUGAGAAGAACUAUAACGUUGACGACCAAAAUCUUUGUCAUUGGCAAGAUGCCUUGCAAGGGAAGUGCCCAUGACUUCCCUACACAAAGAAGGAAGCAGAUACGUAUCCUGCACGCCCUUCAACUUCGUGACGCAUGAAGCUCUAUGAUAUAUACCUAUGUAGAAGCAAAUAAUAUGGAUACGGUGUAGCUUCCUUCGAACCUCUUACUACGUGAAAACUAGUGCUCGGAUGUAAUGGUGUGUUCAGCUUAUUAAUAUAUAUUUGCAGGAUAUUAGCAAUUAGUGUGCUACCAGUGAACUCGACUCAGAAUGAUGAUGGCCAUAAGAAAGCAAACAAAAAGGAAGAACUUUGGGAGGGAAUAGAUUAAAAUGAUAAUAUGUAUGGGAGAAAUAUGUGAUGAUUCUGUUUAACAAGAAAUUAAAUUCAUCUGAUAAGAAUUUCUCAUCUCCAACAACAUCACGACUUCAUUUAGAUUGUGUAGAUGGUUAAUGAUAAGCAGUACUUGGAAACGCUCUUGAUUUAGAUCAUAAUUCAAUACAGGUUAUUGCCUCGGACACCUCCACAGGAUCGUCCCAUUUCUCCGUUUGCUUGCUUCGUGGCUUUGCCACUUCUUUCCACGCGUUGGAAAAAAGCCUCUGCAGAGAACUAGUAAGGGUUCGAUCUUUCUCUCUCUAAGUGUUGAAAGCUACCAUCGAGAACAACAAAGCCUUUGUUCUCU